GACGAACGCUGGCGGCGUGCUUAACACAUGCAAGUCGAACGGAAAGGCCCUGCUUUUGUGGGGUGCUCGAGUGGCGAACGGGUGAGUAACACGUGAGUAACCUGCCCUUGACUUUGGGAUAACUUCAGGAAACUGGGGCUAAUACCGGAUAGGAGCUCCUGCUGCAUGGUGGGGGUUGGAAAGUUUCGGCGGUUGGGGAUGGACUCGCGGCUUAUCAGCUUGUUGGUGGGGUAGUGGCUUACCAAGGCUUUGACGGGUAGCCGGCCUGAGAGGGUGACCGGCCACAUUGGGACUGAGAUACGGCCCAGACUCCUACGGGAGGCAGCAGUGGGGAAUAUUGCACAAUGGGCGGAAGCCUGAUGCAGCAACGCCCCGUGCGGGAUGACGGCCGUCGGGUUGUAAACCGCUUUCGCCUGUGACGAAGCGUGAGUGACGGUAAUGGGUAGAGAAGCACCGGCUAACUACGUG
rnacentral:rRNA from 1 species